GAGACUUGUGGAAUUUGGUUGCUUCAAGAGACCAUGAGAAUCGUGGGCAAAUUGAAUAUGCAAAUACAAAUACUUAUGAGAAUGGGAGGCUUGGUGGUUAUGAUUAUUAUUAUGGAACUAAGUUUAUGUUCGAGGACGUUGAGUCGGAAUGUCUGCCCCAAAGAGAUUUUAUUGCAAUUGUGCCAGCUGGAUGCGAAAUACCAUCAUGGUUUACAAGCACAGAAUUUCAUCUUGUGGAUGCGUAUGGACGGGCAUGUGAGAUAAAAGUGGAGAUACCACAUCAUUUUCCGUGCAAGUGAGUGGUUAGGAAUUGUUGUGUGCCUCGAAUUUGUCUCAUAUGAGUAUGGUAAGAUAUGGUGGAGUAGUAAAGGUGCAGAAGAUGCUGAUUAUAUACUCAAAAAGUGGGCGCAUGCAAUUCCCGGGAGGCUCUCAAGCACUAAGAAACGAUUGCAUGAAGCUGAUAAUGGUGUUGGAAUUAAAUGAGAAAACAUGUUGGCAGCACCUAACACCUCCUAACAACUCCCUUCACAUUUUACUUUCUACUCUCCAUGGUCCGCUUUUUAUCUGACGUUGAAAUAAAGGGAUGUGGGUGGAGAUUGAUAUGCAAGAAGAGAUGCAAGAGUGGUCCCCUCUCAAUGAUCUUUUCACCCAGCCACCAACUCCUCACCCGGUCGUGCAUUCACAGAGGGCUCCUUCCUUAAAGUGGUUGAUCUUACUUGUUGGUGAUUGACGACAAUGAACAGGAACGAAAUGUGAUGGUUUUUUUUUUUUUU